UACUCUGACAGAAAUUUGAUUGCUACCUUGUUUUUAUAUUGUUCGUUAUGAAAAUAAUUAACGUCUUGUUGCAACUGGCAUACUAAUCAUUCCCGGAGUUUUGCUAGUUCCAUUAACUAUAGUCUUCUAUGCAUAUCUUGUAUGUUAGUGAACCUGUAAAAAUACAGAAAAAGACGGAAAUAAAUAUACAAGCCCUGAAUUAAGGUCAAGAACACGGAAAAUCCACUGUGUUUACUUCCACAUCACAUUAUAACCUUAUCGCGGUUUAUGAAAAAGCGUAAGUUCGCUAUCGCAAUCACGCUCAGUUUCCGACCCCUCAAACCGUAUAAAAGUGAAGAGCCUGGUGGAGAAAAUUCUUUAAAACUUUUGAGAGCAGAAUGGCCGUAUCUAAGUUUUGGGGCUUUUUUAUUGCUUGUAUUUUUCUAUCGUUGGUGGUCGCCUGUUAUUCAGACGAUGUCGAUGAUACUGAUGCUACGGAACCCAUGAGAGAAACACGGCGAGUUGGUGAAAACACUGUCCGAGUUCUUCUGUCUGCCAGAGAUGAUUCGAUGUACAACACAAACAGAGUCCGCCAGAGGAGACCGUGUGGUUUUUGGAGGCGGAUCAGGGGAAAGUGUUAACAGUUUACAAUGGCAAUGUACAUAGAAGAGCUGGGCGCGGAUCAUUUAUAUAAGACUUCUAGUCAAGAUGUCUUUCUCAUAAUGACUUUAAUCAACACCAGAGGCCUUUUCAUCUUUCAAGUGAAAAAUACCACCCGAAUAUACAUCAAAUUCUUUUGUUGGAAAUUUGCAACAAUCGUGAAGACACCCAAGAUAAGAAGUGCAUAAAGCACCUGUGAUUUGAUAAAAAUACAAAAAGCACUGUCAUUACUUACAUUUUUGUGUAAAAUUUGUGGCCAAGAAAUCAGCAAUAUAUAUACAGAAACAUUGAGGCGAUGCCGAACUUCACACCCUUGUUCAGAUUUCUGUACUUUAUUCUGGCAUUAGACCAAUUAAUUUGUGAUUUAUUAUACUCACUGUGGAUAUUUUUAUGUGAUUAUAUGCAAAGAGAUGAAAUCUCAAAACUAGAUGUAAAUGCAAAUAUUUUAUUUCUCAGCGCUGAAAUACGUUCAAGAAAUCUUUAUGUAUGAAGUCUCUCAAACAUCUUUUAAUUGAAAAUUUGAUUAUUGUACUGUAUAUUUAGUGUGAAAUUUUUUUCAUAUAAAAUGAAGCAAUCUGGCAAUUCAAAACACACGCGUACUUCUAAUUAGUGCGCUUUGAAGACAAAGCUUGUAAAAAAAAAAUGUAAUAUAUUUCUCUAUUUUUAUGUGUUUAGUCAAUGUUACUAUGAAAAUAAAGUUAUAAAAUCAA